CUGCAAAAAAAAGGUAUUUGCAACGUUUUGUUUUGGAGCACUGCAAAUAUGUCGAACAACCAAAGAAUAAUACAAUCCAAUUAAUAAAAGUCCAGAAGUUCAGAACACUAUCCCUUGCAAAACUAAAGCAAGCAGUUCAAAACACUUCCUCGCCCAAGCAAGUUCAACACCUUGCCGCCGUUCAGCCAUUCGUCGCCGGAAGUUCUCCUCGUGUCAAGGGGAUACCAACAACUUCUCCGUUAACUUCUCCUCGUCCAACAACUGAUAAAUUCACGAAUAGAUCGAGGGGAUUGGGUUUCAGCCGUUUACUGUGUCAAAAAGGCAAAUAUUGGAGCAUUAAGCUUUGAUCUACAAGAUCUAGUUCUUCCAAUUAGCUUUGGAUUUUGUUCUUCUUCUGUGUGAUUUCCAUCGCCCUAACUUAGGAUACCCAUUAAUUCUGCGUCGCCGUUGCCGUUGCCGUACAACUGGUUUUCUUAAACCCUAAUUUCUAUACCACUCAUCAAUUCUUGUUUUUGAUUUUUUAAUUAUUGGUUUUCGUUUGAUUUGAAGAAUAUCUGGUAUGUUUGUUCGUAUUUAUGCCGAAGUUGUGUUUAAUUGAUUAAUUUGUGAUGUUGUUCUUUAAUUGCUGUUUUUAGGGUUUAUUUAUGGUGUUGAUUGAUGCAAUGUGAAAUUUGAAAAUUUGCCUAUAUAGUAGUGAGAUUUCUGUGAUAUAAUCGAUAAUUAGUUUACAUCGGACAGGCUAAUGAUUAUUUUAAAGGUUCGGAAAAAUUAAAUUAUUAAUGUGACGAUUUUAUGUGGCUUUAAGUUGCUUCGGUAUCAAUUUCUCGGUUUUGUUUAUUUGUACCUUUUGUUCGGAUUUAGUCAUCACAUUGUCGGGUUCAAAUUAUGCUAUUGAAAUGUUUUAUUCAUUCAUUCAAAUUACGCAAGGGCCUAGGGACAUUAUAAGUGCAAAACUCUCCUUUUGCAAAUCUGAUGGUGUGUUCUAUUAACCUAAUUUUUACUUAUCUGAACUUAUAUGAUCUGAUUUGAACUUAUCUGAACUUAUUAGCCCUUAUUAGAACUUAUUUUAGUUAUAAAAUGAACUUAGGUAGCCCUGAUUAACCCUUAUCACAACUUAUCUGAACUUAUUUUUCCUGUACUUACCUUAUCUGAACUUACUUUUCCUGAAAUAAGUGAAAAUAAGGUGAACAGAACAGCCUGAGCAUAAUGAUUUUGCAGAUUUUAUUAGAAAAGCAAAUUGGUUUAUAGUAGUAGAGAAAUUAGUUUGAGGGACUCUUAAUGUAGUAGUGUUAUUGGUAUUUCUAUCAUCUUUUUAAGGUGGUUAGGUUCUGAGUCUAAGGUAUCAUAUUAUGUGGUUGCAGAAUAUGGAUACUUCAAAUCCUGCAGCAUUGUAAUCACUCCGCCUGUAUGUUGGGCGGAAGGUUCGGGUAGCUAUACAGGUGAUACAAUCUGAUGGCAGUUCUUUGAUUAAGAAAUCAACUGAUGAUCAUCAGCUCGUCACAAAGGGUUCGCCACCAACUCAACCACUUACCAAAUAUGUUGAGGUUAUUGGUAUUGCUGAGAGCAACCAAUCGGUUCGUGCUGACAUAAUGACCAACUUUGGUGAUAAUUUUGGAUAAAACAGGUAACUCAUAUCCUUGUCAGUCUCCCCUUGAUUUGUUUAUGUGUUCAAACAACAACCAACGUGUUUCUUGAGGUAUCAUUUCAUUAUACUCCCUAUCUCCUUCAUCCUGUUCUUCAAAUUUUCAAACUGAAUUCUUUGCAUACAUUGCUACUUUGAAUUUAUUAAAAAGGAAUGUGUUGCAUGAGAUAUUAUCAGUUUGUUUAGUAUGUUGUAUGAGAUGCACUACAAUCUUUCAUUAAGAAAUCUGCAAGCAUAUUUGGCCUUACGAGAGGAAAGGUACAGGUUCACCAACGUGAACCGUUAGCAAGUAAGCCAAAGUCUUUUAAGAACGCCGGAGACUCUGUUGUUUACUUUGAUAGUACUGGUGCUGUAUCUACAACUGGUAUUAGUUCUUCUUCCAGGUUAAAGGUCAUUUCAAGUUCAGUGGUCGCUUCUACUGGUGAAUCGAUUGCUGCUUCUUCGUCUGAAAAAUUUGUUUCAUCUCCAGCAUCAGAGUCAGUGAAUCAGCCUGAUUUGAAUGCACAUGUAGGAGCCAAAUCUGCAGCUGAUCAAGUGAUGGGUGUGGGGGAAUUUCAAACUGCCAACACUCCCACCUCUGCCUCCAGCACUACCAUCCCUUUGAAGAGGCGCAAGCCUUGGGAAAGAAAAGUGCCUGCUACACUCUUCUCCAGGGCUCAGUUGAUCAGAUUAUGAGCACAUGGGUCCAAGCAAUUGGCAGACGUUUUAUGGCUUAGAUAUCAACUCAGAGAGGGGGCUUGUUCUAGUUGCUGAUAACUUCGGCUAUCUGUACAUGGUCGUCAUGGUGGGGGGAAGAAUAUAGAGCUUCUUAGUAGAAGUU